GAUGAACGCUGGCGGCGUGCCUAAUACAUGCAAGUCGAGCGAACGGACGAGAAGCUUGCUUCUCUGAUGUUAGCGGCGGACGGGUGAGUAACACGUGGAUAACCUACCUAUAAGACUGGGAUAACUUCGGGAAACCGGAGCUAAUACCGGAUAAUAUUUUGAACCGCAUGGUUCAAAAGUGAAAGACGGUCUUGCUGUCACUUAUAGAUGGAUCCGCGCUGCAUUAGCUAGUUGGUAAGGUAACGGCUUACCAAGGCAACGAUGCAUAUCCGACCUGAGAGGGUGAUCGGCCACACUGGAACUGAGACACGGUCCAGACUCCUACGGGAGGCAGCAGUAGGGAAUCUUCCGCAAUGGGCGAAAGCCUGACGGAGCAACGCCGCGUGAGUGAUGAAGGUCUUCAGAUCGUAAAACUCUGUUAUUAGGGAAGAACAUAUGUGUAAGUAACUGUGCACAUCUUGACGGUACCUAAUCAGAAAGCCACGGCUAACUACGUG
rnacentral:rRNA from 1 species